rfam:Ixodes scapularis strain Wikel colony gcontig_1108379014368, whole genome shotgun sequence.
AUAGUCUUGGCCGACUGGCUAAGGCGAUGGACUAGAAAUCCAUUGGGGUCUCCCCGCACAGGUUCGAACCCUGUUGACUGCG